AGAUGUAAAUUUCGGGUCUAGCACAUCAUGUCAAGUGGAUGAAGUUCUUGUAGAAAAUCAGCAGCAAAAGGAGGGUGCUGAAGAUUCAGUUUCUGCUCAAUGCAAUGACACACAGACGGCCACAGAGCUGAAAGCCACCAGUGAGGCUCCACGCUCCAGAAGGAAGAGAAAGCAGCCAGACGAGAGCGAACCUGUGAAGAGGUCAACGCGCUCCGCUGCCAAGUCUGCCUGUGGGAGGCUGAAGGUGAGUUUGCUGAGUCUGCAGCUUCUGGGUUCUCCUCUAUUCAGGUUCCUGAGAAAUCUGCAUAAAUAAGCAGAGCGCUGAGGUGAUGUCUGAUGGAAGCCGUUUGCAUCUGUGCGGUUGCUGCACCGGAAACCAUCUGCGGCGUCUAGUUACCUGAUAACAUUUUGUUGAACUGACUGAAAUCGGUCGAAUUUUGCUUCUUCCACAUUCAGUGAAACUGUUAUUUGGGAUGGAUGCUGCCCACAUUUUUUUUCAAUAGAAAACCACUCAUUUCUGGUUCUUUUGUUUGGAUUUUAAUAUUUUAAUUGUCUUUUUUUUUUUAGAUUUCACACCAAACAUUACAUCGCCAGAUUAUUUAGAUACUUUUUUAAUCUAAAAAUUUAUAAUCUUAAUGUAAACAAUCAUCUUCGAAAUAAUACAAUUGUAGAAACAAAGCAGAACGCAGCCUGUGAUCUAAUAGGAGGUUGACCGGAGGAGGUUGCUUCAGAUUUAGUUGGAAAUACAUUAUUUGGAUAAACAGUUGACGAGUUGCUGUAUUUAAAAGAAUGUAAACAUUAGAGCUAAAGCCAAUACCUGUCGUCUGUUCUUUGUCAUUUAUAAAUCCUUCCUGCAGUGUCGCUUGAUGGACAGCAGGGGGUGCAGGCCACUUUGAAGCCAGCUUGUUUUUAAAGUGUUAUUUCAGUGUCAAGGUGUGGUGCUUUUAAAUAUUAAAACCAAUUGCUAGUGUUCCUGCUCUAGUAUAUAUACAUUACUGCAGAUGGAGCGUGUAGCAUUACCUUUAGCUGUGGGUGGAGGAAUAAGUGUCAAACAACGCUCCUUUUUCUUAUAUGGUCCUCCAUUCUGCUGGAGCGCUGUUGUCUGUGCCUGACUCAGGCUGUGCAGCUGAUAGGCUGUCAAAAUCACGUGACAGCUGACUAGGAAAUAAAUA